ACAUUUCUUUCAGAUAUCUUGCUCCAUGGCAGUGAAGUAUGUUGAAGGGAUUCAACCGCCCUGCCUCCCCAAUAUUCCAUCCACUGUACCCCAACUUCUCCCCAGUUCCUUUGAGCUUUCGCCCAGGAUGGAAAGCUCAGAGCCAGGAGGCCACUCUCCCAUUCAGAUUCCCUCUGAUGUUUGGCUGCCACAAAAUCCCUCCAACUAGAAGAAAUUGGUUUUGGACUACUCAUUUCCUUUGCGUGAUAUUGCCCCUAUUUUAGGUAUAGAAUACAAUUUCAUGUUUUAACCAUUGGAAAAAAAACUGAAAAUUAUCAUUUUCUCUCUCAAUAAAUUCUGACUUUCUA
rnacentral:lncRNA from 1 species